UGAAUACGAGAUGCUACGGCGUCGAAGCAGUCUAUGUCAUACUUCCAAGAAAAGCUUGCACUGUCAUAAACAAAUAAUGCCUGUACCAUAACCGACACAGGUGGGUAGGUAGAGUAUACUAAGGGGCGCGAGAUAACUCUCUCUAAGGAACUCGGCAAAAUGACUCCGUAACUUCGGGAGAAGGAGUGCCUUAUUUAUAAGGUUGCAAUAACAAGAUCCAAGCAACUGUUUACCAAAAACACAGGUCUCCGCUAAGUCGUAAGACGAUGUAUGGGGGCUGACGCCUGCCCAGUGCCAGAAGGUUAAAGAAGUUGGUUAGCAUCCGCGAAGCUGAUAACUGAAGCCCUGGUGAACGGCGGCCGUAACAAUAACGGUCCUAAGGUAGCGAAAUUCCUUGUCGGGUAAGUUCCGACCCGCACGAAAGGCGUAAUGAUUUGGAUACUGUCUCGGAGAGGGGCUCGGUGAAAUAGACUUGUCUGUGAAGAUGCGGACUACCUGCACCAGGACAGAAAGACCCUAUGAAGCUUUACUGUAACCUGAAAUUGAAAUUGGACUUUACUUGCGCAGUAUAGGUGGGAGGCGUUGAGAAUAUUCUUGCGGGAUUAUUGGAGCCAUCAGUGAGAUACCACUCUUGUAAUGUUAGAUUUCUAACUUUGUAUCAUUAUCUGGUCAAAGAACAGUUUCAGGCGGGCAGUUUGACUGGGGCGGUCGCCUCCUAAACGGUAACGGAGGCGCACAAAGGUUUCCUCUGAACGGGUAGAAAUCGUAUCUAGAGUGUAAAGGCAUAAGGAAGCUUGACUGUGAGACCUACAAGUCGAGCAGGGACGAAAGUCGGUCUUAGUGAUCUGACGGUGCUGAGUGGAAAGGCCGUCACUCAACGGAUAAAAGUUACUCUAAGGAUAACAGGCUGAUCUCCCCCAAGAGUUCACAUCGACGGGGAGGUUUGGCACCUCGAUGUCGGCUCAUCGCAUCCUGGGGCGGUAGUACGUCCCAAGGGUUGGGCUGUUCGCCCAUGAAAGCGGUACGCGAGCUGGGUUCAGAACGUCGUGAGACAGUUCGGUCCAUAUCCGGUGUAGGCGUUAGAAUAUUGAGAGGAGCCUUCUUUAGUACGAGAGGACCGAGAAGGACAUACCUCUGGUGUACCAGUUAUCGUGCCAACGGUAAACGCUGGGUAGCUAUGUGUGGAGUGGAUAACCGCUGAAAGCAUCUAAGUGGGAAGCCCACCUCAAGAUAAGUAUUCUCA
rnacentral:rRNA from 1 species